UAUCUAUCUAUCUUUCUCGUUAGAGCCCCACGUUCAAUACCUGGUCUUCCCCCAAAACGUUUUUCAUCGCUAUUAAAAAUAUCGUUUCUUGCGUGUGCAACGUGUGCUUGCUAACCGUUGUACUCUUUUAUUUUCAGUGAAAGCAACGAUCUCCAGGAGGAGUGGAAGCUUUGUUGAAAUUCCACAACGUGCCGGCACGUGAUCAAUCGCGUUUGGCCUAUUAACGAGUACCUCUCCUACGCUACCAGCUCGUCCAACUAUAAUAGAGUGGACAGCGCGACGAUGAGCAAGAACAGACAGAAGAGCAAGUUCAGUGACCGUUAAAGCUUCUCGAAUUGAACGACGGAAGGAACGUGCGGAAAAAGAGGAGAAAAAACUACUCGAUCCCGUCUACACCCUAAGACGCACCCACACACGAUAUCCCACAAUGUGUAUAUCCAGUGCUUGUACGGAAUCGCUGAGGAAGCUUUUAUCUCUUUCUAUCUGUUUCUAGAGAAGCGCCGUAUGGACGAUAGCGUACGAGGUCGACUCAUACGAUAUAACCGGUUGUUCGUCCAUAAAAUAAUUACAAUAUUUUAAUUACGAAUAAGAUCCGACAUUGGAUAGUUAUUUCGAUAAGUUCCACGUUUGUUCCAAUAAACUCCGAAACCAUGGAGUCAAUUAGUUUUUAUUUUCGUUGAUAAAAUUCACAGGUCAAGUAUUUUCUACUGUUUGCCACCAUAUAGAUACAAUCGCCAACUAAUAUAAUGACGAAAAUGAAUAGGCGGUGCGGAUUAGAGGAAGAGAAUAGUACUCUCAGCUACAGCUAUUUUCGAAAGGAGUAGCAAUGCCAGCGCGUGAUUAUGCAAUAUCGCGGUGAAUAAUCCAGUCCGGAUUGACGGUGUUUAAGAGACCUUGAGACUGCGUUUCUCUCUCUCUCUCUCUCUCUCUCUCUCUCUCUCUCUCUCUCUCUCUCUCUCUCUCUCUCUCUCUCUGCUGAACAACAAGAUUCCGCACACGUACGAGAAUCACUCCUCAUCUUCUAAAGGCCAUCAGCGAGAUGAGUAGAGCACCUAGCUACAAUUACUUCGACCAAACGCAUUAAUCUCGUAUUCGAAGGAAUAUCGAUUUAAGAAAAAUGGUUUAACAGAUAAUUAAGUUCUAAUUUCAUUAGAACAUAAGAGAAAGGAACGUGACAUAACAUGACGUCGCUUCUAAUUCUCUAAAUCGUACCUUUGGAUCUAUCUACACAUUAAUCACAUUACCUUUUCCUUAAACGACAUCAAAGUGAGUCGUUUGCAUCGCAUUUGGACCAUGGUCCAAUAGCUGUCCUGUGUCGCUUUGCUUUCUAUAGCAGGUUCACUCGAGUCUAACUCAAAUGAAAAAAGCUCUCCUUCGGGUUUCUGCUUGGACGAUGAAACAACCUGCCGUCGGGAGCUCGAAAACAUGCUGCACCGGAGGAUGGAUUAAAGAUAAUCUCUCACUUGGAAUGUUCUCUUUAACCGUUUAACAACCGCACGUCGAUAAAGAUCCGAUCGCAUGGCGAUUACAUCAGCGUUAAAUCCGUAUCGUUGUCUAUCCCGCUAGGCGGAAAACGUUCGUGCGGUUUAUGUCAUUAUCAUGCCAGUAGACGCAAUCUAAGAAGCACACGCUGCUGGUUGAACGUGAAAGAGAAAUGUAAUAACGGUCGAGUGUCGGUAAUGGUAAUUACCGUUCAAUGGAGGACGACAUUUGCAUGAAAUUUGCACAUACACGAUCAUAAAAGUUGUAGAUUCAUAUGCCAUUGCGAAGCAUCCCAGUCGAAAGUAUAAUAUCGAUUUCCAUCUUCUUAAUAGGUAUUAAGUAAUUUCGUUUCUCACUGUGUUAAUAUCUUGUGGGCUAAGUGUAAAAUUCUUGAAUAGAAUUGCCCUUGAUGACAUCACGUAUGACAAAUUGAUGAAGUGUGACCCAUUUUCUCUUCCUGCACCCUUUACAUUACCAACUAUGCCCAAUGUCGUCGGUCCCAAUGAGAUGACGUCGCCUCGAUAUUAACUUACGGCAUGACAAUCGAUGACAUCAUUUAUUGAGAAUUACGACGAACGUACGUUCGGAUUUGAGCAACAACGUGAAGUAGAAUCAUUCAUCUGUCAUUUAAAUAUGCGCAAAUCGCCGGUAUCGCUAGCAUUGUUUCAUGAAUGAGUCAGCGACCGAUUUGUGUUAUCUCUCGCUCUCUCCCUUAUCUUCCUCGUUCGGUGAUCGUAAUCGCCGAUCGUUUCCAUUAGAUAAUUUUAUUGCACGAAGAGUAAAAUUGUUCUUUUCUUUUUUUACUUUUUUCUUUCAAAGAGAACAUUUUCUUUACAAUUUGGACGAAUACAAUUUGAAUUUGAUCGCAAAGAUUAAAAGAAAAUUGAAGCGUUUGGCUUUAAAACGUUGCCGUGCAGUAUCGGAUGCAGUAAAGCAUACGAAUCCAGCGUAAAGUACGAAGUCUAUGCACGUGGGCGUAGAAAGGAGGGUGCGUACAAAGGCUGAGUAAAAGGCGAGGGGUCGAAGUUAGAAUGGGAGAGGGAGUGCGGAAAAGGGAGAACUGGCAGGAACGGCAGACAUUGGAAUCGAUAAUAAAACGGCGCGUCGUCGCGCAGCAUCCCUUGGUGCCUGCUCGCGGUUGGAGGCACUUCUCUUGGAUGUUAACGAUUUGAAAUAUUCGCAGCUUUGUUAAUAUUUUUACGUAUUAGGUCGAAGAAAGAGGAAAAAAGAAAAAUACAACGCGUCCAGACACAUUUCGUUAGUAGAUAAUAUGGUGCUCGAACGCGGUACUUUCGAUGAGAAGCGAAAAGUAGUAACAAAGAGAGAUAGGAAGAAGGAUAGGUUUCUAGAGUAGCGCGCCUAAUGAGAAGUGCAAAGCUAUUAAAAAGACAGGCUCCGUUUGUUAAAGCGUGAUCAAAAUGAAGUUAAUUUGCGUAGACGUAAGUCGAGGGUGUCUGCCUGCAGACACCCUUAGAAAAAUUUCAAGUCUUGCCAGCAGUACAAGUAGCCACGUACGCGUGUCGUGUAAAAGGGUGUGUUCAAUUUAAUGUUCGAGAUGGGUACGCUCGCUCGCGACUCACGAAACGACUCACCGAAUUCAUUGAUAUAAGAAACAAUAGGUAUUUUUCAAGUUUAUAAAUAAUUCGAGUGACUUUGAAAUGGUCACUUUUAUUGGUUACGGAUAUUUUGUGUGCAUAUAAUUAGAUGUUGUGCGUAAGUGCAUAAGUCGUCUUUAAUUCGUUGAAAAUGAUCGAGGGCACACCUAAAUCGUACCGUCAACUUGGAUAUUUAUUUCGAGGCGUAACUGAUCGGUGGUGUAGAAUUAUCUGUGCGCUGUAUCGACUUACCGAUAAUACCACGCUACCGGUUUAAUCGACCGAAUCGUCGUCUCAGUUUCGACGCUUGAGUUGCCACAAAAAGAGAUGAUACUUUGUGCGUCUCGUCAAAGCGUAGAAAUUUUAACACGUAUUCCUAGUAUUUUCCCAUUUACUGUCAUUAUAUAUAUAUAUAUAUAUAUGAUUAGUCUCAACGCCACGUUAUACGUAUCCAAUUAUCUAUUGAAACGAAUGGAAUACCAACGAAUUUGCUCCAAACGCGUUGAAGUUUAAUAAUAUUUAGAUUGGCUACGCAAUCAGAAAAGAUAAGUUUUAAGUAUCGUCGCCAACUAAAUGAAAUUAAAGGGGAUAAGUGAAACAAUAAAAAAUGGCUAAAGAAGAAAAUGGAAGAAGACGGAACGAGAGAAGAGAAUUAGCAUCCUUGACGAGUGAGUUUGCGCGCGAUAUACGAGUAGCAUGCGUGUAUAAUGAAAACUAGCCACUUCAAACAGGUAUCGGCCCGGCACGUUCUGUCUCUCCAAAAAUAGCAACGUGUCACCUUUUCCUUUGCCUUCGACCAAUUCCCCACGAUCCGAUAUAAAAAUACCUUGUCUUAUUUUUUUUCCCGCAUCUAAAGCGAUUUCGCGAUCGUACAUAUGCGCGUACAUAUGUACACACAUACAUAUAUAUAUAUAUAUAUAUAUAUAUAUAUAUAUAUAUAUAUGUAUGUACGAAUGCUUGUUCCUAAUAAUAAAGUGUUGUAACCGAAAUAUUGGAGAAGCAAACAUAGUUUUAGUUUUAGUCGCGUAGAAAUGUCGAAAUUGACGCGGAGAAUCGUAAACGAUCAUUAUAAUUGAUAUCAUUUAAGAGGAUGAUGCCUGAACAGUGUUACAGCAACGAGGUCGCAAUACCGGUACAAUUAAACGACAACUGGAUUAGCACUGUAAGAGAAAGAGGUGAAGUUAGACCAUGAAGAUAUCCGAAGCAAAAGCUCCAUCGAAUUCGAUAUAGAUAACGGGUUAGACAUUGAGCCACUUUAAUGGCUCAACUUAAUGACAUAAAUCAUUAAAUUCGCAAGGAAUAUCACAACUCCACAAUGGGACAGUACACUCAUAAGUCUUUCCGUAUCGAUAGCAUCGCCACAAGAAUACGUACUAGCAAAGAAACGUGGUAGUCGAAUGAAUGGCUCGACUGUUUCCUCACAAACUCUGACGUUUCAUGCACAAAAUGCCGACAUGUUGCGCGAUAAUGAAACGUAAAUUAAUAAGUCGACGAUGAAUAAGAAAGUGGGAAACCGGCGUCAAAGCGAUUUAUUAUGAACGCUUAAACAUUUGCCCUAUCGAAUUAAAAACUCAAUGUGGUCCCUGCAAUGAUAUUUUAUUCGUUCGUAAUAUAUAUGUAUAUAUAUAUAUAUAUAUAUAUAUCAUAAGCGUAUUAAAGAAGAAAAAUCUCUGUUAUUGCUUUAUUCCGUAGAGAAACAUGGAAGAAAUAUUUUAAUUCGUUUCUUGAAUCUUUUCGCGAGAAGAGAAUAUCAAUUGGCAAUGUAAUUGCUCGCAGCGUGUGGAUGUUGUGUGUGCGUGCGCGCAUGUCUGCGUAAAGGAUUGUUGUUAACGAGAUGGGAAGAAGAAUUAAGGAGAAGGAAUUAUCGCUUGGCGUAUUCGUUGUAUGUAUGUUGUUCGUAAAAAGCCGUAACCGGGCUUUCUGAUCCAGUACGAAGAGAAGAGUUUCGAAGAUACAACGAUACAACGUCGAAUAACGGGGAAAUUAAAGCGGUUACUUCGAAAAGAGGUGGAUGAAAGCAGGGAGAAGGGUACGUUCGUCGUAGCCUUCUUCAUUCGGCACAUCGCGUUCAAACGCAUGCACGAGAAAACGAUUUGCAACGUAUGUGUACGUGUUCGUGUUAUUUAACGAGGUCAUCCACUUUCUUUUUUCCUUUUUUUCUUUUUACCAACGACAGCCAGGGUAAAGUACUAGCGCCUGUUAACGUUCAGAUUCUACUAUUCACGUGUUGCUCUUUUGAGGUAUCUAAAACUCUCAACAAACUCAAGAAACCAUUUUUUGCCUUUGAUAGCAGGAAAGAUUAUAACUGAUGCAACCAAUAUAGGAUGUUCCACUUUUCAUACUGAGAAAAUCAGGUGGUCGGAUCGAUCGUCGAAUUGGUCCUCCCUGCGUGUUAGUUGCGUUCACGCUGUCACCUUCUCGAUAGAGCUAGACGCUGAGCAGGAGCUCGAAGGAAAACCGGGUCAGAAGCGGAUAUAGGUAUCGAUAGUCCGACACCACCGCCCAUUUAGAGGGUAGUAUUCUUCUCUCUCUCCCUCCCUCUGUCUCUCUGUCUCUCGCUCGCGCUCUCUCUCUCUCUCUCUCUCCCCCUCUCUCU